rnacentral:rRNA from 1 species
GAUGAACGCUAGCGGCAGGCUUAAUACAUGCAAGUCGAACGGUAACAGGUCUUCGGACGCUGACGAGUGGCGCACGGGUGAGGAACACGUACACAAUCUACCUUAUACUGGAGAAUAGCCCCGGGAAACUGGGAUUGAUACUCCAUAGUCUUUAAUGAUCACAUGAGAAAUAAAGUAAAGCUUCGGCGGUAUAAGAUGAGUGUGCGUCCCAUUAGAUUGUUGGUGAGGUAACGGCUCACCAAGUCGACGAUGGGUAGCUGGCGUGAGAGCGCGACCAGCCACACUGGCACUGAGACACGGGCCAGACUCCUACGGGAGGCAGCAGUAGGGAAUAUUGGUCAAUGGACGAAAGUCUGAACCAGCCAUGCCGCGUGGAGGAUGACUGCCCUCUGGGUUGUAAACUCCUUUUAUAUGGGAAGAAACCUCUGGAUUCACUCCAGAGCUGACGGUAUCAUAUGAAUAAGCACCGGCUAACUCCGU